rnacentral:rRNA from 1 species
UUGAAUGGCCGCAGUAUAUUGACUGUGCUAAGGUAGCAUAAUCAUUAGUUUUUUAAUUGAAAGCUGGAAUGAAGGGUUGGAUGAAAAAAUGACUGUCUCUGAUAAAUUUUUUUUAGAAUUUUAUUUUUAAGUUAAAAAGCUUAAAUUUAAUUAAUAGACGAGAAGACCCUAUAGAGUUUAAUUUAAUUGGAAAUAAUUUAAUUUUAGUAAUUAAUUUUAAAAAUUAUUUUAAUUAAUUUUUAUUGGGGUGAUGAAAAAAUUUAAUAAACUUUUUUUUAAUUUAAAUAUUUAUAAAUAAAUUAAUGAUCCAAAAAUUUUGAUUAUAAGAAAAAAUUACCUUAGGGAUAACAGCGUAAUUUUAUUUAAGAGCU